rnacentral:lncRNA from 1 species
UGCACUUAGGUUUAUAAAGCGUUUGCAAGAGCAGGGCGAAGGCGGGGCGGGGCUGAGCGGCAGGGCGCUUGCGCGGUCUGCGCGGCGGCUUGAAGACUCCCUCAGGUGCGGAGCCCCGAGCGGGCGCCGCCCUCGGCUUGCGCAGUGGCUCCACCCGAGUUCCUGCUUCUGUCACUUCUGAGACAGCUGCUCAGGCGGUGGCACUUUCUUCCCUUCAUGCUCCCUGGUGAUGUUGACCGCACACGACCCGACCACCCACUCGGCCCUCUGCUUGGCUUUUCCUCACUUCCUGGAACCCACAGGGGCUGUCAGCCUGGGACCCUCGGCCACCAGCUCCCACCAAACCACUCCCUGUUCUUUUUUUAUUUUUUCAGGUACUGGGUUUUGAACCCAAGGUCUUCACACUGAGUUAUGUUCCCAGCCCUUUUUAUUGUUUUUAUUUUGAGAUAGACUCACUAAAUUGCCCUGCUGGACUGCAAUCUUGUGAUCCUCCUGCCUCAGCCUCCCAGAGUGCUGGGAUUACAGGUGUGCACCGCCAUGCCUGGCUGCCACUCCUGAUUCUCAAGGACUCCACUCAGAUGUGCCCCCCUGGCCUGGCACGCUCAGGAGCUCCCUGUGUACCUGCCUGUCGCAGCUAUGGCAGGCUGCUUCCUGGUGCCUCCUCGGUCUACUCUCCCAGUUUUCCGGAACGAGGAUGAGAGCGAGAAGGCCAGAUCCGCUGCCCUCCUAAACGACCAGGAGUGACCCAAGGUAGAUGAGGGCUGUCCCUGUGCGAGUCUGCGGGACCCUGGGGUCCUGGUGGGGGGAUCCCUCGUGCAGCAGGUGUGCUAGUGGACAGCCGGCAGAGCCCCAGCCUCUGGCCCCCAGGAGAACACGCAAGAGGGGCUCCAGGUACUGCCACUACUUAUGGGGCAGAAGUGACAGACCCCCAGCCCAGGCUUCAGCCGGGACACGGGGCAGCCUUGGGGACGCUCGGAACCUGCUGCACAGUGGCGCAGUUUCUUAGGGCCCACGCAGGAGAUCAGGGCCGCUGUACUCCUUUAACGUGGAGUGUGUGUGCCUGUGCACUAAAGCACGGAGAUGGGAACUGUGUUCAUGUUACCACUUCAGAAGUCCUCAGGCUGCUACUCUACAAAGAUGGGGGCACACAAUCAGACCCCUCAUGGUUUGGGUGCGGGUCCCUGGUGCUAUGGUUUAUAUCUAAAGUUCCCCAAGAACCUAAGGCGCUCCACAGGCGGGGCUUGCUGCUAGGACUCGUGGCCUGGCGCGAAGGGCGUGGCCUGGGCUCCUCUUCCGGCUCCGCCCCCCCCCCCCGCUUCCGGCCGUCCUGCCCUGAGCCGCUUCCCUCCUUCAUGCCCCUGCGCUGUGCUGUCCCGCCUCGGGCCCCCGGCUGAAUCUUGCCCCGAAAUAAACCUUUCCUUCCUUAAGUUGUCGGUGUCGGGUAUUUCUGCCCCAGCAACAAGAAAGUGACUUAAGACAAAUGGCUUUCUGGUUGUGUGAAAGCUGGCUUUGUCACCCGCAGGUGCAGGGGGUGCCCAGGGCCACCUCACCGAUGGUCGUGUGUGCGACUCACUGCGCCCUCUUCGGCGUCCUCCUUCCUGGGGGGCUGUCAGGGUCCCCACCCGCCCCACUCUCCCGGCCCUCAAGGGGUGAAGAACGAGGCAGCAGAGGACGGGAAGGAGAUCCAGGAGAGGAAAGAGAAACAAGUUUUAUUAAAGCCCCAAACACUCGGCUAGAAAAACCGAAAAGGAAGGAGAGAGCGGGGAGGUGGGGAGAAGAAAAAGGACGUUGAAAAAGAGACAGAAAACACAGCAACCCUUUUCCAUUUAGAAAUUGUCAAGUUACACCGACAGAGGUCACAGAACAUCCACAGAAGCCGUCACUGCUACACCAACACGGUCCCUACGGGGUGGAUGGGGCGGGGCGGAGCCGAGCCUGGCCCGGGCCCUGGGGUCCGGGAACGGCGUCAGCAUCGCGGCGGGGCGGGAGAGGGGCCCCAUGCGAGGACGCGGCGGGCGGGCGGCUCGGCCCCGGAGUUUCUGGCAAGCACACACGGGCGGAGAGCAGCGAGCGCAUGCAGCUGGGGCGCGGACGUGCGGCGGGCUUGGGGGCCGGCGGGGCGGGCCGGCAAAGGGAGCCAGGCGGGCCGGGCGGGGUGAUGGGGCGCACACGCGCACACGCAUGCACACGCACUCUGGGUCUGCACCAGCACACAGGUGCACCGCGCACAUUGCCGCAGGCAGGUCACACGCACCUCUAACCACGCGCUUGUGGUCCCCACGUGACGACUCUCUGGAAGCCAGGCACGUCCGCACACACACAACACGUGUUCGCACGCGCAGAGCUCCCCCCACAGGCACACGCAGGCAGGCACACGCCAGUGCCCUCGCAGCUCACACGCGCCUUCGGGCUCACGUCUCCCCUCCCCCACACACGACAGGCCAUGCCUGUGCACGCACACCUCAUGCGUUUGCACGCACAGCUGAGCGGCCUCGUGCCGGUGCACACCCGCACACACCCAGACUGCACACAGUCCCAAGCAAGUACCUCCCAGCCCAUUCGUGCUCAGGAACUAAAGCGAGAAAAAUGCGGGUCCCCCUAGACUCUACUGGGGUGGUGGGGUGGGGUGGGCCCUCCAUCUGCCCCACUUGGAUGGACGCCCCCUCCCCCCACAAGGGACAUCAACUCAGGACAAUGACAGCGGGGUGCGGUCAGGUCAAAGGGCUGAGGUGCUGGGGCGAGCAGAGUAGCAAGCAGAGUAAUGGAGCGGAGGGAGGAGGGGGCACCACUCCCCCUCCCCUCCCAGGCCCGGAUCCCUGUACCCCGGACCUAACCAGCGCCUCCCCGACCAGAGCCAGCCCCGCCUCUGCUGUCCCCAGGCCCCGCCCCUGCCGCGACAGCGGCCAGGGAAGAGGGCCGUGGGUUCCUUUUUUUUUCUUUUUUAAAUAUUUAUAUAUAUUUAUAUUACGUAUAUUAUAUAUAUAAUAUGUAAAUAUAUUUUUAAAACAAUAUAAAAUGUUAAGACACUUCACUUAAAUGUAAAGAGUUGCCUGCAAUUAAAAGUAAUUGCAUCAUUUAUGAGGUCCUUUUUUUUUUCCUAUUUUCUAGGUUUUUUUGUGUUUUGUUUUUUUUUCCGGGAGGGAUUUUUUUUUUUUCCUCUUCUUUUGUUAUUUUUCAAAAAGGCUCGCUUGCCUUGGUACAAAAAUGGUCAGAAGCUAGAAAACAAGGAUGAACCAACAAAAACAGAAACCAAAAAUAAUCCCAAAGGAAUGAAGAAACAUAGCCCAGUUCCCUCCCUCCCCCAACCCCCCAGCAGGCCCCCAGGGACACCGCUUUGUCCCCUUCCAUGGCUCCUCUUUUCUGUGCUUAUGGGGGGACAAUCCCCACGUCCCCUACCUGUGCUUCCUCUUCCUUUGUGCUCCAAAUGGGAAACCUGUCCUCUGGGGACGCCACUCCCUCCUCCUCCUCCUCCCUGUCUCCCUGCUGGGCCCUCUCUGCACCCCUGGGGACCCCAGGACUGGAGACCCAAAGCCUCCUUUCCCUCCCUCCUCCAGGCUUCAGGACCCACAAACAUCUCAUCAGUAGUCACCAGAUCCCCACGUGCCACCCCGUCCCUGAAAGCUCUCAAGUCACAAAAAAGAUGUUGAAGGCCAGUUUGUCCCCACCUGUGGGGUCAGAGCUGUCCUCACUGUCCUUCAAAACCACCGGCUAGGCUCCCCAUCUCCCUCCCACCCUCAGGGCUCCAGACCUAGUCCCUUGGCCCUUCCCUGUCACCCACCCACACGCAUUAAGUUAAUGGCAUUUAAAGUGCUAAAUCAGGAAACUAAAAGUACCAAAUGCACCUUCCCAGGCUGCCCUCUCCCGAGGCAGUGGCCCAGUGGCAGGCUGUCCCCACGGCCACCCUCCAUGCCAGUGUCCCCAGUCCCUCCUUCUCUGCUACCACCCGCAGCUCCUCCCCACAAGCCAGCGGCUCCCCAGGGACACAUGGCCUGGGCACCAUGGCCACACACCCAGCCUGGGGCCGCUCAGACUCAGCCUCUGUCCCUCUGUGGUCCCCGCUGGUCCUUCUGGCCUACAGCUGGACUGGACACGACAGGAAGGAGCAGAGUAGCAGCAGCGUUCAGUCUUGUCCCAGCUCAGACAGGGAGUGGGGGCGUCUCCAGGACCAGGGUCACCCUCAUCCCAUGGUCCAGCCGGAAGCUGGGGUGGGCCCGUGUCCUCUGCUCCUCCGGGAAGGGAUGACAGAGAAGGGGGAGGGGUCUCUUGUCGCUCCAAGUCUCCGUGGCUCAGAGUUUGUUUGGAGUUUUCUCAGGAGUGAGGGGAACGGGGGGAUGGGUACAGGGCCGGUCGGGGGCUGCAGGAUGGACUUGGGGGGAAGAGCGUGAGAGAGAGAAGGGGCAGACGAUGACAGGAAGAGGCCGCUGGGAAUAGGAGGUCAAGGGGAGGUGGUGUGUUUGGUUUUUAGUUAAACUAUUCUGCUCUUUACAAAAAGAUAAUGAAAAGUAAAUCAUUAAAAAAAAAAACCAAAAACACCAACAAGGGGGGAUGAGAAUAGAAGACUGAGAAGGCCCACAGGGUGGGGACCCUCAAGGGUCUAGCGGAGAGGGUGGGGUACGGGAGAUGAAGGGAAGCGGACUAGGAAGAGAUGGCAGGAGGAAGGAGGGGACGGGCUGGGGGGAUGUGAGGGGCUUCUGGAAGGCUCUAGAAGGAGAUGGAAGAAUUCCUUGCCCCAAAGGAAGUCAAUACGGGAAUGGAGGUUCUGGAAGCCGAGGGCUUUUCUGACACUGGGCUCGGCGGUCUCAUUCGACCCGCUCAUCUCUUUAGAUGGUUUAGUGGCCUGGAAUAGAAACAGGGGUCCGGGUCAGAGACGGCGGAGGUGGCCUGUGUGCCGGGCCCCAGCUGAAGCGUGAGGAAUAGAAAACCUCCAAGAUCCAAGAGGAGACUCUGGAGGGGCAUCGGGAGAGAGCUGAGCCCUGACUUGGGGGUGUAGGAAGGGGGGCUUGGCAGGGGCAGAAGAAGAGGGAAGGGGUGGGGUGGUCCACGGUUACUGAUAGGAGAGAGAGAAGGUGGAAGAGAGACACCACAGAGGACGAGAGAGACCGAGCCCAGGACAGGUGGGAGGACAGGGGCAGGGGUGGGGAGGAGAAGAAGUGAAAGUUAGCGGCUGUAGCAGGGGACUGGCAGCGGGCUCGGCAGCCCAGCCCCGCCAGGGUCCCCUUUGGCCUCCGAGAUGCUAAGAUGCUGAGGAGGGGCCUCUGGUGGAACAGGGUGCCCUUUCCGGAGGGACCCCAGCCCACUUCCGGGGGAGAAGCACGCUCCGAACCUAGCUGCCAGGAAAGCCACCCAGGUCCCUGAGCAGUCCCCUGUGGAAGAGGGAGGCCACUUCCUUAGGGUCCCUCACUCCCAGCCCGCUCCCCUCCCAAAGACCCGUCUCUAUCCUGGUUCAGGAUGUGUGUUCUCUGGAGCUGUGGUCCCCAAGGUGUGCUUUGAGAGGUAUCUGGGUCAUCUUCAAGGGACAAUGUCUGGCAUGCAUCGCAUUUGCAGAUUCCUGGCCCCACCAGAUGUGACUCUGCUGUGGGUCCAGGAUGUGCAGGUGAAGCAGGUGCCCUGAGAUUCUGACCCACCCAGUAAGACUCUGUCUCAAAAGUAAUACUAACAGGGCCGAGGAUUUAGCUCAGUGGUUCCGACGCCUGCCUCGCAAGCGCAAGGUCCCGAGUUCAAUCCCCUGUACCAAAAAAAAAAAUAAUAAUAAUACUAACAGGGCUGGGGAUUUAGCUCAGUGGUUCCACCGCCUGCCUCAAAAGCAUAAGGUCCGGAGUUUGAUCCCCAGUACCAAAACCAAAACCAAAACCAAACAAUAACAAUAAAAGGGCCGGGGAUUUAUCUCAGUAUUUCACUGCUUGCUGUGCAAGCGCAAGGACCCGAGUUCAAUCCCUGGUACCAAAAAACAAAAUAAUAAUAACAAUAAAAGGGCCGGAGAUUUAGCUCAGUGGUUCUGCCACCUGUCUCGAAAGCACAGGGACCCGAGUUUGAUCCCUGGUACCAAAAAAAAAAAAAAAAAAAAGAACAACUAGAUGCACAACUGCCAGUUAUGGAUGCACCCGGGCUUCGCCACACUGCAGUCUGCAGCCUGUGCUGCCCCUCCAGGUUUUCCAGCCCCUCCUCUACUGUGGUUGCUUAUCUGCUACUCAAAGGUUCCAAGACUGCAGCCACAGGACCCACUGAUUCACCCAUCCUUUGUCCCCCCUCGUGGGCCCAAACUCAUCCGGAGGCAACUGAGUGUCCUUACCCUGCGGUCCCCCACCGGGCUCAGUCCCGCCCUCCGCAUCAAAUGUCCUCCCCCAAGCGGGGUGGAUGGGAGGAAUCUCAGAGCAGCUGCCUUCUCCCCAGCCUCUGCACUUCUCUGCUGUCCCCAGGCGAGGUGUCACUCCCUCCCGCCUGUCCUCUGUUCUCAACCAAUCUUUCCACUUCAAAGUUUCUUCUGUUCUUUCCCUUUAGCAUUUUUCAAGGGGCUUGGUCUAGUCCACGCUUUGGUCUUUGGAACCCGUGCCUUUUGGCUUGUGCCUCCACACGUGGGUGAGGUGUCCUCAGGAAGGUGGCAGAGUCCUCCUUCCCCCCACAGCCAGGGCCAGGCCUUCUGUAGCGCCAAACCCAAGGCCCUGGACCAAAGCUUCAGGCCCAGUGACCCCCUCCUGGGCUGCCUGGCCUUCUAAGCUGCCGCCUCUGAAGAUUCCCUUCCUUCGGUUUUACCCUCGGAUCCUCUCCCGUGGGUCUCAAUUUUUUCUUUUGGUACCAGGGAUCAAACUCAGGACCUUGUACUUGCAAGGCAGGCAGCGGAACCACUGAGCUAAAUCCCCGGCCCCCGUGGGUCUCCAGUUUGUCUGGAGAACUUGGUCCCAUCUGGCACAAGGGUCAAAGGUCCCAGCUGCUCAGCAUUCUGCUUUCCAGGAUCAUCCUCAGCCCCACACCCCUGCCUGGUGCAGGGGGAUUCCAACCGGACGUGGAUCACCUCCCCUACAGAGCCUGAGUCUGGGCCACUCCCAGUGCCACCCAGGACCAGCAGGAGGGGCCGAGCCCAUGCCCCUUGGCCUCCACCCUGGAAAGUCACAGCCUCUGUGAGUCCUGUUUGUUGGGGUGGCCCCUCCGCACUGGGGCCCCCAAAGGAGACCUGCAAGUUUCUUAUGGUCACAGAGGUGGGGUGUCUGUGGCUUCCAUGCCCUUGAUCCCCAUACCCCUAAGGAUCUGGCUCCCCCGCCGGGGAUCCCGAGCACAGAUUUCAGGGGCCCUCACUCCAUCAUUUCCUUUUCAGAGCUCCGUGGUUUCAAAGCCCCUCCCUGGACCUGGCAUGGGUGACCUCAGCCCCGCUGGGGUUUUCCUCCCCACUGCUCGUGUGAGGGGAGAAAGAGCCCAGAGAGAGUGGAGAACUUGGAUGAGUUCUGGGCUGGUGGUGCUGUGUCCUAGCCCAGCUGAUCUAGGGGUGGGCAGAAGGCACACACUGAGGGCAUGGGGUGGGAGUGAGAACAACAGAGAACCAGGCGGCCAGGAAGAGCCCUGGCCACCUUGAGAAGGGAUUCAGAUUAGGAUCUGGCGUGGCUUUCAGCUGCUGGGUGAAAGAUCAAAAUCUGCAUUUUCCUCCUGGUGGCUCCCAUCUGCAAUCCCAGCACUCUGGGAGGCUGAGGCAGGAGGAUCACAAUUUUGAGCCCAGCCUGGAUAAUUUAGUGAGAACUUGUCUCAAAAGAGCAAAAGGGUUGGGGAUGCAAAGGCCCUAGUUCAAUCCUCAAUACUGAAAAACAACAACGAACUGCAUUCUGCAAAGUUCCUACAGGUCUUAGAAGACGGGCUGGAGGUGACAGCAGUCGCAGGGUGACUAUGCAUCUAUGUUUUGUUCUUUCUUUUCCCCCAGUACUGGGCUGGGACCCAGGCCCUCAUGCCUGUCAGGCUGGGGCCGAAGAGAGCAUGGCGCAGGAGCUGAUGGCCUCGGAGGUGGACGGGCGGGGUGCUGAGCAAGGCGGAUCUAGACAGCCCGCAGGGGUGUGUGGGUGUCUACGUGGCCAUGGGGCACAGAGGCGAGGGCGGGCGGCAGAAGGGACAGCUGGCCACAGGGCAGGACACUGGGGAGCAGGGGCUGCGGCGCGCGUGUGGGGGGCUGUCAAGGCCCUGCUCCUCGUCUGUCUCCCCGCCUGUCCCAGGGUCACCCUAAGGCCUCAGAGUAGCAAGUGUGAAGGAGAUACGUGUGCCUGGGACAGGCGAACGCCCCACAAGGCCAGCUGCUCUUUUUGGCAGAGGGGACCUGCUGGACAAGACGGGGACACUCAUGCACGGGGAUGGGAGGGAGGAUCGCUGGGGUCUGGGAGGAAGUGGAUGGCAGAGGAGGGGCUUUGGAGGCCCCUGAUGCCACACACUGCUGAGUCCCUUUCCACAUGGAACUGAGCCCUGUCUAGAAAGAGGGGACUGAGCCUGCUCUCCCCGGGCCUGUCUCUGAGCCUGGAGCUUUGUGGAAGUCAGGGCAACAGGGACCCUCUACCAUGCCCUCCCCGGGCUGGGGGCCAAAUCACCCCCAACCCAGCCCCUUGCCUAGAUUGUGGGACCCUCAGAAAUCCAGGCUUUGGCACUUUGAGGGGUGGGGAAGCCCGAGAGGGCGGAAGGUCAGCGUCAGGGUCAGGACCUUAGAAGGGCCCAGAUUCUGGGGCUGGUGAGGUCCUGGACCCGUCCAUCCCCUCCUCCAGGAUGAUGGGCAAGCCCCCCAACAGUGUUUCCUGCAGGGGUGGGACCUGGCUGAGAACUUUAUUUUGCAGUACUGGGGAUUGAACUGGGGGCCUUUGCUCUGAGCUACACCCUCUGCUCCGUUUUGCUUCUUAUUCUGAGACAAGGCCUAGCUAAGUCGCUAGUGACCCAGACUGGGUGAACUUCCAAUGCUCCUGCCUCAGGCUCCCAGAGUGCUGGGAUCACAGCUGAGCAUCACCAUACCUGGCUGAGGGCUCCUGUUCUAAGCCAGAUCCAACAAGUGCCACUAGAGGAGGCAGUCCCAGGGCUCGGGGGGAGGGCAGUGGUCACUGGUCACGGGGACAGCAAGCCAGACCUCACCUGCUGCUGGGCCUGGAUCCUCAUGUACUCUGCCCGCUGCUUGCCGUGUUUGCCUUUGUCCGGGCUGCCCGCCUGGCCCUGGGCCGUCUUCAGCCUGGAGGCCCCGGGGGUCACCACCUUCAUGGGCGCACGCCACUGCCACCACUCUGCAAAGAAAGAAACUGGGUUGGAGCAGAGGCUCAAGGGGAUCAAGACACAAGGGGGGUCUGAGCUGGGGUCUGGGGGGGCCAGUACACCACAGGACAGCCUCUGAGCCCCAGCACCCUGGCAGCUUCCGGGUGACAAGGGUGCCCCCGCCAGCCCAUUUCCCUAGCCCCAUGCCUGUUCCUGUGCCUGGGCUAGAGGGUCUUGAGGGGCAGCCUCAGGCCCACCCUGUCCUCCUUAUGGGGAGCAGGUGAGGUGUCCACAGAGGUAGGCAAGGCUGGUUGGUUUUUUUUUGGUACCGGGGAUCAAACUCAGGACCUUGCGUUUUCGAGGCGGCGGUGGAACCACUGAGCUAAAUCCCCAGGCCUGGUUGUUUUAUUUUUUUUUGUUUUUCCAUACUGAGGAUUGAACCAGGGCCUUCGAACUGAACUUCAUUCCUCCCACUCCACCCAAACCCACCCCACUCCUUUUAAAACUGUGACUAAGUUGCCCUCCAAGUUUGGAGGUUCCCACCUCAGUCUCCUUGUGUGCUGGGAUUCCAGGCACAUACCACCACGCCCAGCGAAGCCUGGCUCUUUGUAUCCCCUCAGGUACCAGGCCUGCCCAGAGGGGCUCUGGGGACCCAGAGCCAUGAACAGAGAAAUGAGAGACAGAGAGAGUCCGAGACAGGAGGAGGGGGGCGAGGGGCCAGAGGAGGAGAGAACUUUAUUUGCGGGUUUACAGGUACAGAGCAGAGAGGGGAGAGGGCCCCGCCGGGUUCCUGCCAGGCUGGGAGGGCUGAGUCCUGGGUGAGCCGGCUUCCCAGCCUUCCCCGGGGCUCUGCCCGAGAGCCCCAGCCUGGCCGCAGGCUCCCUCGAGGGUGGGGAGAGGGGAGAGAUGGCCGGCGCCCCUGCAACCCAGACUCCCUCCGCUCUGAAGGCCCAGAGACUUUGACCGCAGGACAGUGAGGGGGGACAGGAGAGGCAGCCACCUGGGGUCUGGGGAGUGGGGUGGAGGGGGCAUUGGGGAGCCCUACAGUGGUGGGGGCUGCACCCAGCUCGCUCAGAGUGGCCUCCAGCUCCAGCAGAGUCUGCUCCAGGCUGUCCCUCCGUGCUUCGCAGUGGGUUUGCCCCCCGUAGCCCCCAGGGGUCUCCUGCGUGGGCCUCUCGGCGGUGGUGGGCUCCUGAGUCCCAGCCGGGGCUGGUGCCCAAGAACAGGUGGCUCCAGCCAGUCUCUUCCCAGCUCCCCUGUCCUUCCUGGGCCCAGUGGCUGUGGCCACCAGCUCUGGCAGGGCCUGGGGGGCGCCGACCAGGGUCCGGGUCUUGGCGUGGGAGCUGGGCAGGGGCCUGGAGCCUCACUCUCUGCCUCAAGCGAGGAGGGGCCACACUCUGUCAGGAUGAUCCGGGGAAUGCAGAAGGCCUGGGAGGGAAAGGAAGGCAGGGAGGUGAGGCCUGUGAACCAAGCUCCGAGCUGGGGUGUGGGUGACAGGCAGGGAAACUGAGGCAGGGAGGGUCCUCACUGGGCUUAGCCAGUAAGGUAGAGGGGAAGUGGGGACUAGAACUCAGGUCUCUUCCACCCCAUCCAUGCCCUGCUAGUUCCCGGUGACAAUGGCCUCGUUCAGAGGAGCAAGGUACACACUUGCCUAUCAUGCCCACGUCAAACCUGGGAGUGGGUCUCAGGACCCCCAAGUCUGUUCAGUGGGACAGUGACAUGGUGUGGGUGCAGAAUAGAGACCAUCUGGGUACCACGCAGGGGUGCGAUGCCCCUACACGUGGGCUAUCUGCGGACUACACUCAACAGCGGAGACUCCAGCCCUGCCUGGCAUGGGGUGGGCGUGGCACCUGACCAGAGUGAAUCCUGGUCUAAUUCUGUGUACCAGGCUGUGCCGGAUGCUCUUCCACGAGCUACAUCCCCAGCCCUUUUAACUUUUUUUUAUUUUAAGCACAAGGUCUUCCGGUGUUGCCCAGGCUGGCCUCGAACUUGAUGAUUCUCCCGCCUCAGCCUCCCCAGGAGCUGGGACGACAGGCAUACGCCACAGCACCUGGCCAGCUCCGUCUUUAAUGCUUACUGCAUCCCAUGGAAUGACUGUCCUUCUUGCUGUCCCCACUGUCUAUGUGAGGGCCUGAGGGUGGCAGCUGUCAUGGGAUUCACCCACCAUCACCAACCUGUAGCUCCCUAGUGGCAGAGCCAGGGUUUGAACCCAGACAGUCUGACUCCAAGCCCAGAGCUCCUUCCACUGAAAGGAGCCAGGGAGGGCUGCACGGGGGCAGUGGGGACCUCGGCCACCCUCCCAGGCCACCCACCCAGCCCUGCCUCCUGCUUACCUGGAAGUGGGGUGCAGAAGGGGAAGGCAGGGGGCAAUGCCAUGCUUGCCCAGCUCCACUGCCCGAUGGCACCACAGGAUGCAGACAGUCAGCCAGGCCCAAAGGCCAGGGAAGGGGCCUUGCCCGCCAGGACCCUUGAGACACUCCCCAGAGCCAGCCAGGGCAGGAGCCAGGUGCUGAGAGCACAGCCAGCCAGGAGGUGCCCCUUCCACACUGCGGGUCCCCAGCCCCACCCAGCAGAGAGCUCCACCCACCACCUGAUGCCUGCCCGCCCCCUGCCAGGGACCAAAGUGAGGGGACUCGAGCCAGGCCAGGAUUCAGGCAGAGUUCCCUGUGCCAGGCGGAACUUCACGCGAGAGGCGAGUGUGCCAGUCCCGGAGCAGGGAGGAGGAGAGAUCAGUCCCGCCCCUGGCCCCAUCCUCCUCCCUCGAACACACGGUUCAGAGGGUGCAGACAGCAGCUCUGCCCCUAACUCCCAAGAAAGAAUAAGGAGGAAGGAAGUGCAGCAGGACAGCAGGGAGUCAGAGGGAGGAAGAACUUCCAGUGCUGAGGCGGAACCAGCAGCCGAGGAGAGGCCUGGUUUCUCCCGUUCCUUGCUCCUGUCUGGACUUCCAUCCGGGAACUGACCCCUCCCCCCCCAAAGGGUCGCAGGUGCGGGGCCCUCCCGCUCUGACCACAGCCCUGGCCCCGCCCCAGCUUGGCCCAGCACCUCCACGGACACAGCCUUGUCCACGCUGCGCUUCCCAGGAGCAUCCAGGCCUUUGGUGGGGUUGCCGCCCUUCGGGGUGAGGGGGCCCCCCUCGGCCGGGCCACUCAGCUCGUGCAGGUUCAGCGGAGGACUGGGAGGCGGCAUGUCGAAGUCCAAGCCCUUGCUGAAGUCAGUCUCCGCGGUCACCUUCUUGGGGGACUGACUCAGAAGGUUGUUGGGGCGGCCACACCCCCUCGUCCACUUGCCUGGGGUGGGGAAGGGGAGCCGUGAGGCCUGGGUGGGGGCUGGGGACAGUGGAUGGAUCGGGACUCCAGGGAUCGGCAGGGCGGAGACCCCCUGGGGAACACGGCGGGCAGAGACCUGCGGAUCUGGGCCAGUGCAUCGGUGACCCCGCGGCAGCGCUUUGAGCAGCCCGGUCCAGGCGCUGCGGCUCCUCCUUCAGGAACUUCACAGCCUCCACCUCCACGCGCAGCACCACGCGCAUCUUGCUCUGCAGCCCAGGGAAGUGAGCUGGGGGGACAGGCGGGGUGAGUGGAGGGCAGCCCCACCCCCACCCCCCGACCAGCAGGGGCAGCGGGAGCUUGGCGGGGGCGGCCUCACCUUUGAGAUCCGUCAGCGUCUCCCCCAGGUGCAUCAGCACCAGCGCCUUCUCCUCCAGCUCAGGCCCGGGCACCAGCCGGUGGCUGUGGGACGCGUCCCUCUGGAGCCUCUCCAUCGACUUCUCCAGGUCACUGCAGCCACAGAGAGACCCGGUCAGUCCCUCUGGCCCCAUAGGUCAGAUCAGAAUGAAAAGCCGCCCACCGGGCCAGUACCCUGGUGAAAUCAGCGAUGCCAAAGGUCAGAAAGAGACCAGAGAGCUCCCCUGCUAGGUGUGGUGGGACAUGCCUAUGAUCCCAGCAUCCAGGAGGAGGCUGGGACAGGAGGCUUGCCCUGAGUUUGAGGCCAGCCUGGACUACAUACUGACACCGUGCCAAAAAGGGGGGGGGGUCCAGGGAUUUAGCUCAGUGGUUCCACACCUGCCUGACAAGCACAAGGUCCUGAGUUUGAUCCCUGGUAGAGAGAGAGAAAGAAAGAAGGAAGGAAGGAAGGAAGGAAAGAAAGAAAGAAAGAAAGAAAGAAAGAAAGAAAGAAAGAAAGAAAGAAAGAAAGAAAGAAAGAAAGAAAGAAAAAGAAAAGAAAAAGUAACAGCUGGGUGUGGUGGUAGCCUGUAGUCCUAGCAUUCAGGAGGCUGAGGCAGGAGUAUCACUGUGACGUUGAGUCCAGCCUGGGCUACACAGUGAGUUCAAGACCAGCCUGAACUACACAGCAAGACCCUGUCUCAAAAAGCAAAAAAUAAAUAAAUACAAUAAAGAGCUUUCCCAAAGGUGUUCUGGGCUUCCCUGGAAAGCUCUGAUCUUUGGCAACAGUGCCCCAAACUUCCCUCCAUUUAACCUGCAGCCUCUGAGUCUCACCUGGCCAAGGAAGCAACAAGAAGGUCCAGGUUCCACCAAGGAGCCUGGCAGCCUUUCAGAGGUGGGGAGGGAGGUGGCUGCAGGGCCCAGGGUCUCCUGUCUGGGGCACCACCACGCCCACCUCCCUGUUGUCAAAGGACCCAGCCCCUCAGCUUCCAUCCUGGAGCCCAAAGCUGCUGUAGGUUUCAGCAACUUUUCACUAAGCAGGAGUCAUUUAAGACCCCACAUCUCUCCAAAAUGUCAAUAAAAAAGACAGACACUAGGCAUCAGGGAGAUACUGUAGCUGUUUUGCAAAUGAGAAGGGGACUGAGACAUGGAGGAAGGCAAGCCAAGAUGGAGGGAGCCCUUGGGAGGGAGGGAUGGGAAAAGGAGAGUAAAAGCAACUAAGAUGUGGCGUGGACAUCCGCCCACUCACCGCGACAAAUGUAAUCCUGACAUGCUGCAAACAUGCACUGACCAAAAUUUUUAAAUUAAAAAUAAAGUAAUAUAUAUAUGUGCAUCCAUGUUUAUAGCGGCACACUUUGUAAUAGCUAAAGCUUGGAAAGAGCCCAAGUGCCCAGCAACUGGAGACUGGAUAAAGAUGUGGUUUUUUUAUAAAAUGGAGUACUAGGCAGCCAUAAAGAAAGAGAAACUAGAGACAUUUAUCGCUAAAUGGAUGCAUAUUGAGGCCAUCCUCUUAAGUGAAAUACAUAGGACACACAUGUGUAAAUACCGAAUAGUUUCUCUAGUGUGAGAAACUGAGAGUGUAAUUAAGGAUUAAAAUGAUUAAAAUGAAUAAUUGAUAAUUUGAAAUAGGAAGAAAAGUUUCAAAGGGGUAGGGGUGGCAGGAGGGGAAGGGGAGAGAUCAGUUACAGGCUGGAAUCUGGAAAGAAUACAUAUAUAGAUUGUGUUUAAAACUAUAGGAAGAGAUGUAGGUAGAGACUAGGCUGGAGCUCAUCAGUGGGUUGGGAAGGAAGAGUCACUGAGAUCAAAGGAGAGAAGGGUGUGUUUCCAGAAGAAGCACAUACAGCUAGGUACAGUACACGGUACUCGAUAGUGUGAUAAAUGACUGUUACUGUUUUAGGUACUUAUCAUAACAUGCUGUGCUUUUCAUCCUUUAGAGCAUAAUCCUACUUAUAUAAGAGUUUACUGUAAAACAGUGUGCUGCUAUGCCAGUGGUAGCCUCAUGUAUCUUAUGUUUAACUGCAUAUUUGGAUAAUCUCAAGGGGCCAUCACAGAUGAUUGAUGUAUACCUUCUGUUUGCACUUAGAAGUUGGUACUCUGUGUGGUACUUUGCGAUACACACGGAUGAAAUUGCCUAAUAACAUAUUUCUCAGACUAUAUUUCCAUCAUGUGUCACAUGACUGUAUUGAAAUUUAAAUUUUAAAAAAUUUGGCCUAUGUGGAGUCUACUAGCUAAUUAGAACUUUUUUUCCUAGACCACUAUGUGCUCAAUAUUAGUUUUGAAAAUCUUUCUAAAACAAAUCACAUCCUUCGAUGUCUUGUUAAUGCUUGAGAUGUUUUUUAAAAUUAUAUAGAAAAAUAUUUAAGUACUUUUCAGUUUUGCUUUGGUUGAGUUCUAUUAUAUUUGAAUAUUAUUAUAGUUUUGUUUCCCUUGCAUUGUUUCUCUUUGAAUAAUUUUAAUUUUUGUAUGUGUGUGUGUUUGAUGAUAAAGUCAUACUUUAAAAAAUAAAGUAAUAAAAUGUAAAUGAGGACAAGUCCCCACUCCUUGCUUUGAAAGAAGGCUGAAAUCCAAACUCCCAAGUGAAGCCAAGAAGGGCACAGGGGUGGCAGAUGAACACUUGCUCUAGAGUUGCAAGCUCCAUGCUGCAAUCCCAGCCCUUCUCUUCCGGCAGAGCC